GUCUAUCAUCAUGCCACCCAGAACAAGCCAGAGGACUGAUCUUGGAAGCUAAGCAGGGUUGGGCCUGGUUAGUACUUGAAUGGGAGACCACCUAGGAAGAUCAGGUGCAGUAGGCA
ensembl:rRNA 5S_rRNA 5S ribosomal RNA